rnacentral:rRNA from 1 species
GAUGAACGCUGGCGGCGUGCUUAACACAUGCAAGUCGGACGGGAAGUGGUGUUUCCAGUGGCGGACGGGUGAGUAACGCGGGAGAACCUGCCCUGGGGAGGGGAACAACAGCUGGAAACGGCUGCUAAUACCCCGUAGCCAGAAGAGCAAAAGGAGGAAUCCGCCUGAGGGGGGGCUCGCGUCUGAUUAGCUAGUUGGUGAGGCAAUAGCUUACCAAGGCGAUGAGCAGGAGCGGGUCCGAGAGGAUGAUCAGCCACACUGGGACUGAGACGCGGCCCAGACUCCGAGGGGCGGCAGCAGUGAAGAAUGCUCAGUAAUGGGCGAACGCCUGACGGAGCAACGCCGCGUGGAUGUAGAAGGUCUAGGGGUCGUGAACUUCUUUUCCCGGAGAAGAGGCAAUGACGGUAUCUGGGGAAUAAGCAUCGGCUAACUCCGUG